rnacentral:snRNA from 1 species
CCUUUAAAAAAUAUUGGCAUGAUUCAGAGAAGAUUAUCAUGGUCCCUGCACUAAGAAUGACACGAAAAAUGAAAUGUGUGCACGGGGAUA